GACGAAGACACCAAGGCACAGAGAUGAUAAAUGUCUUACUUGUGGUGACAGAACUAAUAACUUGUGGAGUCAAGACCCAAACACUGGCUGCCCAUGGCCACCCAGGAACCAAUCAGCAUGUACUUCCGUCCCUCUGAAGUCCAUAAAACCCCCAGACUCAGCCAGACUCAAGCAGAUGAUGGGAUGACCUAUCUGUGGAUAUGUGCUACUGGACUCCUCUCCACUGAGGGCUGCACACUUGUUGGAACAACCUGCCUGUCAAAAGGAGCUACCUAUUUCAGGUCUCUUGAGAUUGGUACUGUUGCUCAAUAAAGCACUUCUUCACCUUGCUCACUCUCCA